rnacentral:snRNA from 1 species
AUGCUUGCUUCAGCAGCACGUAUACUAACAUUGGAAAAAUACAGAGAAGAUUACCAUGGCCCCUGCUUGGAUGACAUGCAAAUUCAUAAAGCGUUCCAUCCUUUA